CCCUUAGAUGUUCUGGGCCGCACGCGCGCUACACUGACAGAGCCAGCGAGUUCUUUUUCCUUGGCUGAAAAGUCAUGGGUAAUCUUGUGAAACUCUGUCGUGCUGGGGAUAGAGCAUUGCAAUUAUUGCUCUUCAACGAGGAAUUCCUAGUAAGCGUAAGUCAUCAGCUUGCGUUGAUUACGUCCCUGCCCCUUGUACACACCGCCCGUCGCUGCCCGGAACUGAGCCGUUUCGAGAAAGCCGGGGACUGACGGCUUGUGGGUGCGCAAGCGCUUCUUGCCGAUGGAAACCAGUUUAAUCGGUAUGGCUUGAACCGGGCAAAAGUCGUAACA
rnacentral:rRNA from 1 species